GUUAAAUAAAUCGAUCGAGGCAGGAGUUACCGAUUGAAGCAAAUUACUCGUGAUACUACUACGAGAGUGCCGUGCGUACCGUUCCACUGAUUGAAGCAGGUACGGGAGUGAUACUAAAAGUGAGAAUGGUUAUUAAAAAACCAGGUGUAACGGUCCGGUUCUUACUUUGGGUUUGAUUAGUUUAGGUUUUAUUGGGCUGAGAUUUUUUUAGUUUGGUUUUGGUUUGGGUAUGUGGAGAAACCAGUUUGGAUAUAGUUGGUUAUGGGUUUAAACGGUUUGGUUAUUAGCCGUUAUAAACUAUGGGUCCAAACCGGUUUCUAGGCAUUGGUUAUAUGCAAUAAUCAACUACGGUCGAGAACAAGUAUCUUUGAUCCGCGUGCAUGCUGUAAUGCACUAUGUAAUUAUGUAUUAUGGAGAAACAGUAGAUGAAAAUCGGAAGUGUUUUCUUGUGCUUUCGCUAAGCAAUUUGAUUUUAAUACACUUGCUAGUGAGCUUAUCAGCUACGUGCAUGUUUUUUUGCCUCUUACCGUGUGUUGACUGUAUCUUAAAGAUUACUUUAUUUCUAAACUGUUGUAGAUGCAUUUAUGUUUUUUUAUCUUAUUUGUUUCUUAACAUGUCAAUUUGUGCAAUCAUAUGUAUAUUAAAGCAAAUCCAUG
rnacentral:lncRNA from 1 species